UGUGGAUGUCAGCACAGAAGGCAAGGUCGACGGCUUCACCCAAGAAGCAGUUCAGGCAGCCAUCAACCCCAUGUUGAACCAGGUCAACACCUGCCUGGACCACCUGAAGGAGAGGAAUGUCCACCUCCCUGGCCACUUCCAGGAGUGCUUGAAUCUAACUGGCAGACACAUUUUGAGUUCCAGCAGCCAUGCUCAGAGGCCCCAAGCGAUUGGCAGCCCCUAGUGGAGCCCUAGGGGCCCUGGGGCCAGGCCUCAACCCUGCCUGCCUGAGCCCUCACCACCUGGCUUAGGGUGGCCUGCAGAUGUCUUGGGGGAUCUGCCUGCCUGGGCCAUCCUUCUGGUACUUCCCUUUGUGGGCCUGGCAUAUCCCCACCUCCUGGCAGGUGUGGGCCUGUGACCCACCUAACUUGCCUGCCUGCUCAACUCCUGGAUGCUCUCACUCUGCCCAGGCCUUGAGUGUUCACACUGAAGUAGUCUCCAACAGUGUGUGCACACUCACCACACAUACACACAUAAAAGGCUCAUCUAUGCCUGGCCCCCUCCAAUAUGCUACAAAUCAGAGAGCCCAUUUCCAUGGCAUCACUUCUCAACGGCAAACUCAGUCUCAGCGGAAGCCUUUGCAAGCUUUUGAUGCUUCCCUCACCCACUAAUUUCUCAAGGUAAGGGUUACAGGAAAGAUGCUUUAAUUUCUUUGGAGGGCAAAGUUAGCAGUGAAUGGGUAGACCCGCAUAAGAUUCAAUACGGUACUCUCAUGUGCAGAAGUUUUGAAUUUCCUCCCCUACAUUAUGCCAGUAGCCUUCUAACCACUCAAUACCAAAUGUCACAGGCUAGCAUCUGGUCCAGGUUUGCAUUAGACAACCCAGAAAACA
ensembl:lncRNA